GUAUGAAACUCCUCUAAUGGAUGCCCUGGAGAACAUCACAUGAAGCCAUUUCAUCGAUAACAUCAUGCUGAUCAGGAGACUGGCUUCAUUGAUUAUAAAAUGAUCUACAGGAGCCUCUGUUCUUGAAAGGAAGGGGAGAAGAGAGGAGAGAGAAGGAAGGGGAGAGAAGAGAGGAAGGGAGGAACUGGACAAGAGCUGUUUGAAGGAGUCCAGGUAAAAGAAGACUGUAGCUGGUACCACAUUGUUAGUAGUUGAGGACCUCCAGUACAAUUUUCAGGAGAAGUGGCAAGAAUGGACAUCCACCUCCCACCAUGUGAUGACAUGCAAAACAUUAAAAACUUGAGAUGAAAGCAUGCCGUUCUAAAACAUAUUUGGCUCAAAGAAAAAGAUGCUUCCCAGGACUACAAAAGAUCUUUCUUUAAUGAAACUUUAAUUAAACUUUGCUUUAAUUUGGAUCACAACGAAGAAAAUAAGGACUUUUCAUCUUGCCCCAUGUGGAAAGUAUCAGUGUCUCCUAUGAAUAAAAUUUUUGGAAUUUAAAUGUCUUGCAAUCUUUCAGGACCUUUAGUCCCAUUGAUAAUUGACUAUGACAACAAAAUCAAUUGUUUGCAACUAAAUUUACAAACAUAUAUUUUUAGGAUGGAUACAUGUACCAGAAAUACAUUAUUGUGUGCCCUCUAAGGUGUUAUUAGUAACAAUGGUAAUUAGAGGGAACAAAAGCUGGGAAAAUAAAAUUGGGAGGAGGCUAUAAGCCAGUUCUUUAGGGUUAAUGAAACAAUAGUUGACAUCAUGUUUUCCCUCCCCAAAGAAGCCACCAAAUGGCAACACAUAAUUAGUAUGAAAUAACACUAUUCAGAACAAUUCUUAGGUGCUAAAUACUUUGUUAUCUACAAAGAACACAUAUUUGAAAAACGUCAACUUUUGAAAAGACUCAAAUAGAGUGUUUGAAUAUGUGUCAUGUUUAGAAUCUGGUCUGUUUCAUAGGGAAUGUUCUUGCUGUCAAUACCACUGUGUGUUACCUCUUCACUGGGAAGGAGUCCAUAUGUCUCAGAUUUGCCCUUGACCACAGACAUUUGCCAAGAAGAGACAAGAAAUGUGUCCUCAUUUGUACAGAUGUACGGAGAAGAAAGCUCAUCAUUUUCAAAAAACAACUAAAAUGCCUUCUCUGUACUGAACAUUAUGUGUGUGGAUUACAGAGUGGAAUAAGAGGGAUGCAACCUGGCCUUAAUAAGGGAGAGGUGUUCAUGGCACACGUAUACCUUUGUAACAAACCUGCACAUUCUGCACAUGCAUCUCAGAACUUAAAGUAAAAUAAAAAAUAAAAAUAAAGAAGUGAAAAAAAAAAAAAAAAAA
rnacentral:lncRNA from 1 species